AGAGAAAGCUUGAGGCAGGCCUAACACAUGCAAGUCGAACGAACUCUUCGGAGUUAGUGGCGGACGGGUGAGUAACACGUGGGAACGUGCCUUUUGGUUCGGAAUAACUCAGGGAAACUUGUGCUAAUACCGAAUGUGCCCUUCGGGGGAAAGAUUUAUCGCCAUUAGAGCGGCCCGCGUCUGAUUAGCUAGUUGGUGAGGUAACGGCUCACCAAGGCGACGAUCAGUAGCUGGUCUGAGAGGAUGACCAGCCACACUGGGACUGAGACACGGCCCAGACUCCUACGGGAGGCAGCAGUGGGGAAUCUUGCGCAAUGGGCGAAAGCCUGACGCAGCCAUGCCGCGUGAAUGAUGAAGGUCUUAGGAUUGUAAAAUUCUUUCACCGGGGACGAUAAUGACGGUACCCGGAGAAGAAGCCCCGGCUAACUUCGUG
rnacentral:rRNA from 1 species